UACGUAGGGUGCAAGCGUUAAUCGGAAUUACUGGGCGUAAAGCGUGCGCAGGCGGUUUUGUAAGUCUGUCGUGAAAUCCUCGGGCUCAACCUGGGAAUUGCGAUGGAGACUGCAAGGCUAGAAUCUGGCAGAGGGGGGGUAGAAUUCCACGUGUAGCAGUGAAAUGCGUAGAGAUGUGGAGGAACACCGAUGGCGAAGGCAGCCCCCUGGGUCAAGAUUGACGCUCAUGCACGAAAGCGUGGGGAGCAAACAGG
rnacentral:rRNA from 1 species